AGCUUAUAUAGUUUAAAAGAACAACAGCCUUUCUCGUUGUAAGUCCCAGAAAGCUGGGUGUAAGUUA
rnacentral:tRNA from 1 species